GUGCUCCCUUUGGCAGCACAUGUACUAAAAUUGGAAUGAUACAUUGAGGAUUAGCAUGACCAUUGCAGAAGAAUGGCAUGCAAUAUGUGAAGCAUUCCAUAUUUAC